rnacentral:lncRNA from 1 species
UUUGCUCAGUUUCACAUCCAUCUACAUGUGUUUACAGACUUCGUCAUGAUCCUUUGUUUUCUACUUCACUGGCCUUUUUGCACGCAUCAAUGCGCGUGCGAAAUGUUUUUUUUUACAUCACAGCGCGUUACAUAUGGUAUGUAGUUAUUUUUUUUCUUUUUACAUUUGUUCAUACAUAAAGACAUUCUUAUAAUUAUAGCGCGCUAUGCGCAACGUACAAUGUUUAAUUUUAAUUUGUACAUUUGUACCUGUCAAAAGACAUUCAUUCAUUUUAAUUUUUUUUGUUAACAAUUUGUAGAAAAUUUUGCACUACUAAAUUUAAAAUAAGAUAUUGUAUGACACAUCCCAACCCGGAAUGUCCAUUAAGACCCCGAAACGAGGCAUGCUGGCCGACACCUAGAAGGUGACGAAGUCACAAAGUGUGAUAAUGUAUAAAAUGUGAAUAAAUUAAAAUCUAAAAAUUUCUAAGUACACAAGUGCGCGGUGAGCGGGUCUGGACCUAUUUCACGCAUGAUACAGAGCAUAAGUAAAGUACAGUAAGGUAAGAUAAUGACUAUACCACCAAAAGAAGCCACCUACACUGGGAAGUGCCACGAAUCCUCGUCGAUACGGAACUUUGCUGCUAGAACCUGGAGGGGUACAAAAACAGAAAAUGUGAGUGAGUGAAACAAAACUCUUCAAACCAAUUCCAACUACCAAAGAUAGUAGCCCCUUGCCGCAAUACCUGUUUAAUUUCCCAAAAAAUAACAGGCGUGAUUAUAAAUCAAAACCAUAACCAAAAUGAUAGUCUUACGGUUAUGCUACAUCAAAUAUCUUAACAGGAAUGAGUAACUCAGGUGAAAUAAACCAAUAGGAAAUGACAUGUUAGCCGGAUUCACCCAUAAUGUACGAUUGAAUCAAUAUUUCAUCCCAUAUAUGCUAGCAUCUCAUCACAAAUCUCAUCAUAAAUAUAUACUAGCAUCUCAUCAUAUAUCAUCACAUAUAUGCUAGCAUCUCAUCACAUAUCUCAUCAUAAAUAUAUGCUAGCAUUUCAUACAUAUAUGCUAGCAUUUCAUCACAUACCUCAUCAUGAAUAUAUGCUAGCAUUUCAUCAUAUAUCAUCAUAUAUAUAUGCUAGCAUCUCAUUACAUAUAGGCUAGCAUCUCAUUACAUAAUUCAUCACAUAUAGGCUAGCAUCUCAUUACAUAUCUCAUUAUAAAUAUAUGCUAGCAUCUCAUCAUAUAUCGUCACAUAUAUGCUAGCAUCUCAUCAUAUAUCUCAUCAUAAAUACAUGCUAGCAUUUCAUCACAUAUCUUAUCAUAAAUAUAUGCUAGCAUUUCAUCACAUAUCUCAUCACUCAAUCUAGCCAGAGUCACCUAUAGUAACCUAUAUGGCAUAUUCAUAUCUCAUCAAUCAAUCUAGCCGGAGUCACCUAUAGUAACCUAUAUGGCAUUACGCCUGCACACGAGUCGGAACCACUGUAGUGGUUUGUACGACAGGACUGGGUGUAAAUGAAUACGCUCAAGUGCUACGAUCACGUGAAGAGUCACCUACGAGUUGGAACCACCUAUAGUGGUCUGUAUGACAGGCCUGUGCACCUA